rnacentral:lncRNA from 1 species
AUAGCUGCAAUCAGAAUAAAAAAAUCAGUAUAAUUUAGAAAUAAACAAAAAAAAUGAAAGUGAUCAACUAAGAUAUAUCUAAGAAAGUGAUCGAACAAAGAUCGACAUCGUAGAGAGCUUAUUCGGUUAUCAGUUCUCUCUGCUGUGGUACUGUCAUAUCCUUUAGUCCAUAAAAAUCCUCUCGAUUGUCGACCUCCAUCCGACUGUUCUCAUUAAGGCCGGUUUUUAGAUCACCCCAGCAUGAAGGAAAGCCCCAG